GAUGAAGAACGUAGCGAAAUGCGAUACUUGGUGUGAAUUGCAGAAUCCCGUGAACCAUCGAGUCUUUGAACGCAAGUUGCGCCCGAAGCCACUAGGCCGAGGGCACGCCUGCCUGGGCGUCACACGCCGUUGCCCCCCCAUCUACUCCUUCGGGAUUGCGGGGGGGCGGAUGAUGGCCUCCCGUGCGCCUAGCCGCGCGGUUGGCAUAAAUACCAAGUCCUCGGCGACGCACGCCACGACAAUCGGUGGUUGCGAAACCUCGGUUGCCCGUCGUGUGCGGUCGUCGCGCAUCGAGGGCUCGAAAAAAUUGCCGGGCUCCGGCUCGGCUUUCAACGCGACCCCAGGUCAGGCGGGGUUACCCGCUGAAUUUAAGCAUAUCAAUAAGCGGAGGA
rnacentral:misc_RNA from 1 species